GACGAACGCUGGCGGCGUGCCUAAUACAUGCAAGUAGAACGCUGAAGAGAGGAGCUUGCUCUUCUUGGAUGAGUUGCGAACGGGUGAGUAACGCGUAGGUAACCUGCCUUGUAGCGGGGGAUAACUAUUGGAAACGAUAGCUAAUACCGCAUAACAAUGGAUGACACAUGUCAUUUAUUUGAAAGGGGCAAUUGCUCCACUACAAGAUGGACCUGCGUUGUAUUAGCUAGUAGGUGAGGUAAUGGCUCACCUAGGCGACGAUACAUAGCCGACCUGAGAGGGUGAUCGGCCACACUGGGACUGGGACACGGCCCAGACUCCUACGGGAGGCAGCAGUAGGGAAUCUUCGGCAAUGGGGGCAACCCUGACCGAGCAACGCCGCGUGAGUGAAGAAGGGUUUCGGAUCGUAAAGCUCUGUUGUAAGUCAAGAACGGGUGUGAGAGUGGAAAGUUCACACUGUGACGGUAGCUGACCAGAAAGGGACGGCUAACUACGUG
rnacentral:rRNA from 1 species